CAACGUUCGGAGCAUAAGGCGAGCUGAGUGAAGCAGCGUGGAGGCGACCCAGAGAAAGUAAUUGUUCUUCUGUCAGCACGGCUGCUCCUCUACUUACGCAUCUGAACAAGUUAAUUUGAAGCAUGGCUUUCUGGAAGGAGAUGGAGCUCCUCUCAGCAUCCCACGGAUUCAUGGGGAGAGAUGGCCUUUCACCAGGAACCCCAAUAAAUCCCUACCCCUCCCCCACUGGAAGCAACCGAACAAUGGCACUCCAGACGUUGGCUGGACUCCACCUUUAACUCCAAGGAAGUAACAAGCUUCCCCUCAUUCACUGCUGGCCGAAAUAACAUGUCAAAGGAUGUGCAUAAGUGUGUAUACGAAUGUCUCCUCUGUUUAUAAACAGCUCUCUCACAUUA